rnacentral:rRNA from 1 species
UUUCCCUCAGGAUAGCUGGAGCCCGAGGGCGAGUUUUAUCGGGCAAAGCCAAUGAUUAGAGGCAUCGGGGGCGCAACGCCCUCGACCUAUUCUGGCGCUUAAAAUAUUCGCAGUUAACGAUUCCCGCGUGCAAAAUUGCCAAAAUUUCUCGGUGAAGGUCCUU